rnacentral:rRNA from 1 species
CGUAGGCGGGAUGGCAAGUCGGUCGUGAAAUCCUUCGGCUCAACCGAAGAACGUCGGCCGAUACUGCCGUUCUUGAGGGAUGCAGAGGAGACUGGAAUUCCCGGUGUAGCGGUGAAAUGUGUAGAGAUCGGGAGGAACACCGGUGGCGAAGGCGGGUCUCUGGGCAUCUCCUGACGCUGAGGCGCGAAAGCGUGGGGAGCAAACGGGAUUAGAUACCCCGGUAGUCCACGCCAUAAACGAUGACGACUAGGUGUGGGGUGGUUCAGUCCACUCCGUGCCGCAGCUAACGCAUUAAGUCGUCCGCCUGGGGAGUACGGCCGCAAGGUUGAA